rnacentral:rRNA from 1 species
GAUGAACGCUGGCGGCGUGCUUAACACAUGCAAGUCGAACGGACUUUUAUUGAAGCCUAGCGAUAUAAAAGUUAGUGGCGGACGGGUGAGUAACGCGUGAAUAACCUGCCUUAUACUGGGGGACAACAGUUGGAAACGACUGCUAAUACCGCAUAAGCGCACGGUUCCGCAUGGAACAGUGUGAAAAACUCCGGUGGUAUAAGAUGGAUUCGUGUCUGAUUAGAUAGUUGGUGAGGUAACGGCUCACCAAGUCGACGAUCAGUAGCCGGCCUGAGAGGGUGAACGGCCACAUUGGGACUGAGACACGGCCCAAACUCCUACGGGAGGCAGCAGUGGGGAAUAUUGCACAAUGGGGGAAACCCUGAUGCAGCGACGCCGCGUGAGUGAAGAAGUAUUUCGGUAUGUAAAGCUCUAUCAGCAGGGAAGAAAAUGACGGUACCUGACUAAGAAGCACCGGCUAAAUACGUG